GGAAUUUUGUAGCUGGUAUAAAGACAAUUAACCAUAAAGUUAAUGUACAAGAAAACAUUUAAUUUCAAAAUUUUUGUUUGUUUACAUACUAUACACAAUAUAUCAUAUAUUGACUCGAAUAUCAUUCCGAUCUCUUUCUGUAGUCCAUAGCCCAAAUUUCGUUUUGUUCUCAUCUAAUCGAAGUAUUUGUCCGAACAAAAUGAGUUAAUACGAAUUUACUAUGUCUGAGACUCCAAUAGAAAAUGAUGAAUUAGCAGAAUUAUCCAAUUCGAAUGUAAAUCAAACGAUGAAGAUGCUUUUGGGUAAAAACCUAUGGAGAAAGGCGAAUAAAUGGUCGAAUUCGUUAUAUUACCAUCUACAGCCAAUAUUUAGUGCAUCUGUUGAAGCUCCCACACCCUCCAAUAUCAUCUCUAACAUUGGUCAAAGACUAUUCAAGAUACUUGAAGAAAGAAACAAUUCAAAUGUUAAUAAAGUAAAAUUAAAAUACUUUAACGAAUUUCAAGAAAUUCUCCAAGAAUGUUGUGAUAUUGACUCUCUUUUACAAGUGAUAAAUAACAAGGGUUAUAAUCUAUUACAAACUGCAACGGAAUAUGGUGAUAUAGCUAUAGUUGAUAGCUUAAUUUCUGAAGGAGCGAGUCCCGACUCUGGGAAAUGUUCUUCUCCAUUACAUAUUGCUUGUUCUAAAGGCGAUCUUCAAUUAGUCCUGCACUUGUUAACCUUGGGAGCAAAUCUAAGUAAAAAGAGUGGUAUGUGCUGGCCAAAGUCUCAUCUUCCAGUUAGACACGUUCCGUCUAGAUUCCAUUUCUUGGAAACUGAUAUCUAUAUGUGUGAUACAAAUGCUCAAUUACCGUUAAUGUGUGCAAUUGAGAGGGAUCAUGUGAUUAUUGUUAAAGAAAUUUGGCAAGUUUAUAGACCAAUUAACAGCUAUCCUCUGCAUUGCGCUGCAAAAAAUGGGAGUCUUCAAUGCGUAGAAUAUUUAAUAUUCAAAGAGGAAAUUGACAAGAUUGACGAUGAAGCUAUGACUCCACUGAUGCAUGGAGUGUCAUCUAGUAUAGACGUUACGAAAGCCUUACUAGACGCUGGUGCUGAUGUUCAUUGCCAAAAUGAAAAUGGAGGGAUCCUACAUCAUUUAUUUAAAAAUUUGCAAAAUCCUCUUGAAUUAUACGAUGUGACAAAACUAUUACUUGGUCAUGGGCUCGAUACGAGUAUUAAUAUACUAGACAAAGACAAGAAUACAGCUUUGCAUGGCCUAGUUGUAUUAUGUAAUAGGAAGUUGGAGACGUUAUCAGGCGUGAAAAGCGAUCAAUCAAAAUUUGAUGUGAUUGUCGUGAGGACAAUCGAACUAUUACUGUUACAUAAUGUAGAUGUUAAUAGUGUCAAUUCCAGUGGCGUUACUGCACUCCAUAAACUGCUCUUGACAUUCGAUUUCGUGCUAAGUAAUGACCCAAGAGCUAUUACGGUUGAUACUCUUCCUCAGAGAGAAUGUUACGAAAUUAACAUGGACGUUUUAAACGCUUGUGUUUCCAUGCUCGGCCAACAUAGAGCUGAUGUUUGCUCAUUAACUGCAGCAGGUCGAGCACCUAUCGUUAUUGUACUUCAAUCGGUAUUGGGAGCGCAAUUAGGGCACUUGAAAAGAUUUUCAAAUGGUCUAGUUGAUAUUUUGAGAAUAUUAUGCACGCACGGAGCCAAACCAAGCCUUCAUAGGAACACACACAACCUAGUUGUUGCAACUAUAACGAAGUUGAGUGAAAAAUGCAUACAAAACCUUGAAAUAUCAGAAUUUACUUUAUCAAUAUAUGAAACACUUUUUGAUUUCGACCUUGAUCCAAAUAGAACUGGACAACCGCCAGCUAAUCUACUAGCUCAAACAAUAAGGACAUUUGGCUUAGCUAAAACCGAAAAUGGAGUAAAUUUUGUCUGCAAAAUUGUACAAUGUUUAUUACAACAUAGUGUAAAUCCAGAUAUUGAACCAUACGCAUUAGACCCGGAGUUCUGCUCAUCUCAAAGUUGUGUAUUUUUAAGAAAAUCAUCUAAUGGGAUUUUACAACUUGCUAUUGAUGAAUUGCAAUCAUUACCACCAUCUAAAGCAAGCGAAUACGCAUCGUUGGAAUUAUUACAUUUACUCUGCAAUAGCGUCAGCCAUUCUGUUUUGUAUUCGUUAAGUAAAAGAUCUCUGGCAACAAUUAAUCCUAAAUUAAAGAAAAUAUUAUUGGACUAUACAGAACAACCAAGAAGCUUGAAACAGUGUACAAGGGUUAUCAUUUAUAAGCAAUUAAGAAGAAAACUACUGAUCGGAGUUGAUCUUUUACCUUUACCAGACAUGUUGAAACGUUAUUUGUUGUAUGUUCAAUAAGUUGGUAUUAUUCUUUUAAAGAACAAAUAAUAUAAUCCAAUGGUUGGAGGUUAUAUAUAUAGAUUUAUAUAUAAUAUAUUAUUUUGUUUUUCAAUUUGUGCUUAUACUGCUUUCUUCUUAUUCCUUCUUUUAACUUUUAUGGAGGGUGUGUUUAUAAUAAUAACAUAUUGAUGUAAUUGAAGUGUUCUGUGAACGAACUUGUUCAAAUUGUUCUUUUUUUACUCUGAAAGAAGGAAAUAAUAGAAGGUGUCUUUUUUUUCAAUUUCCUUUAAUACAGUUUUUUUUAUUCAAAA
rnacentral:misc_RNA from 1 species